rnacentral:rRNA from 1 species
CCCUGGCUCAGGACGAACGCUGGCGGCGUGCCUAAUACAUGCAAGUCGAGCGGAAUGAUGAAGAAGCUUGCUUCUUCUGAUUUUAGCGGCGGACGGGUGAGUAACACGUGGGCAACCUACCUUGUAGAUUGGGAUAACUCCGGGAAACCGGGGCUAAUACCGAAUAAUCCAUUUUGCUUCAUGGCAAGAUGUUGAAAGGCGGCUUCGGCUGUCACUACGAGAUGGGCCCGCGGCGUAUUAGCUAGUUGGUAGGGUAAUGGCCUACCAAGGCGACGAUACGUAGCCGACCUGAGAGGGUGAUCGGCCACACUGGGACUGAGACACGGCCCAGACUCCUACGGGAGGCAGCAGUAGGGAAUCUUCCACAAUGGACGAAAGUCUGAUGGAGCAACGCCGCGUGAGUGAAGAAGGUUUUCGGAUCGUAAAACUCUGUUGUAAGGGAAGAACACGUACGAGAGUAACUGCUCGUACCUUGACCGGUACCUUAUUAGAAAGCCACGGCUAACU